rnacentral:rRNA from 1 species
CCUACGGGUGGCUGCAGUGGGGAAUAUUGGACAAUGGGGGGAACCCUGAUCCAGCCAUGCCGCGUGUGUGAAGAAGGCCCUCGGGUUGUAAAGCACUUUCAGUGAGGAAGAACACCUGGUGGUUAAUACCCAUCAGGAAAGACAUCACUCACAGAAGAAGCACCGGCUAACUCCGUGCCAGCAGCCGCGGUAAUACGGAGGGUGCGAGCGUUAAUCGGAAUUACUGGGCGUAAAGCGCGCGUAGGUGGCUUGAUAAGCCGGUUGUGAAAGCCCCGGGCUCAACCUGGGAACGGCAUCCGGAACUGUCAAGCUAGAGUGCAGGAGAGGAAGGUAGAAUUCCCGGUGUAGCGGUGAAAUGCGUAGAGAUCGGGAGGAAUACCAGUGGCGAAGGCGGCCUUCUGGACUGACACUGACACUGAGGUGCGAAAGCGUGGGUAGCAAACAGGAUUAGAUACCCGUGUAGUC